UACGUAGGUGGCGAGCGUUGUCCGGAUUUACUGGGCGUAAAGAGCGCGCAGGCGGUCGUACAAGUCGCGUGUGAAAGCCCCCCGGCUCAACUGGGGAGGGUCACGCGAUACUGAUCGACUCGAAGGCAGGAGAGGGUAGUGGAAUUCCCGGUGUAGUGGUGAAAUGCGUAGAUAUCGGGAGGAACACCAGUGGCGAAGGCGACUACCUGGCCUGUUCUUGACGCUGAGGCGCGAAAGCUAGGGGAGCAAACGGG
rnacentral:rRNA from 1 species